rnacentral:rRNA from 1 species
GAUGAACGCUAGCGGCAGGCCUAAUACAUGCAAGUCGAGCGGGAUUAAGUAGCAAUACUUAUGAGAGCGGCGCACGGGUGCGUAACGCGUAUGCAACCUACCCACAACUGGAGGAUAGCUUUCGGAAACGGAAAUUAAUACUCCAUAAUGCAGGGGUACCGCAUGGUACUAUUUGCUAAAGAUUUAUUGGUUGUGGAUGGGCAUGCGUCUGAUUAGUUAGUUGGUGAGGUAACGGCUCACCAAGACGGCGAUCAGUAGGGGGUCUGAGAGGAUGAUCCCCCACACUGGCACUGAGAUACGGGCCAGACUCCUACGGGUGGCAG